rnacentral:rRNA from 1 species
GAUGAACGCUGGCGGCGUGCUUAACACAUGCAAGUCGAACGGAAAGGCCUCAUUUGGCGUGUAUUCGCGUGUGGAAAAGGUGUGUAACACGUGAGUAACAUGCCCUUUACAUUGGGAUAACUUCCGGAAACUGGGGCUCAUACCGGAUAGGAGCCCCUGCUGCGUGGUGCAGGUUGGAAAGUUUCGUCGGUUGGGGAUGGACUCGCGGCUUAUCAGCUUGUUGGUGGGGUAGUGGCUUACCAAGGCUUGGACGGGUAGCCGGCCUGAGAGGGUGACCGGCCACAUGGGGACUGAGUUACGGCCCAGAUUCCUACGGGAGGCAGCAGUGGGGAAUAUGGCACAAGGGGUGGAACCCUGAGGCGGCAACGCCGGUGGCGGGAUGACGGCCUUCGGGUGGAAAACCGCUUUCGCUCAGGACGAAGCUUUGUGUGACGGUAGCGGGUAAAGAAGCACCGGCUAACUACGUG